UGCGUAGGCGGGCCGGUCAGUCGGGUGUGAAAACUCACGGCUUAACCGUGGGCUUGCAUUCGAAACUGCCGGUCUCGAGUACGGGAGAGGGAAGUGGAAUUCCUGGUGUAGCGGUGAAAUGCGUAGAUAUCAGGAGGAACACCGGUGGCGAAGGCGGCUUCCUGGACCGAUACUGACGCUGAGGCACGAAGGCCGGGGGAGCAAACA
rnacentral:rRNA from 1 species